AGGGAUAUAGUUCAAGGGUAGAAUAAUGGUCUCCAAAACCACUGAUCUGGGUUCAAUUCCUAGUAUCCCUGCCA
rnacentral:tRNA from 1 species